rnacentral:rRNA from 1 species
ACGAACGCUGGCGGCGUGCUUAACCCAUGCAAGUCGAACGGAAAGGCCCUGCUUUUGUGGGGUGCUCGAGUGGCGAACGGGUGAGUAACACGUGAGUAACCUGCCCUUGACUUUGGGAUAACUUCAGGAAACUGGGGCUAAUACCGGAUAGGAGCUCCUGCUGCAUGGGGGGGGUUGGAAAGUUUCGGCGGUUGGGGAUGGACUCGCGGCUUAUCAGCUUGUUGGUGGGGUAGUGGCUUACCAAGGCUUUGACGGGUAGCCGGCCUGAGAGGGUGACCGGCCACAUUGGGACUGAGGUACGGCCCAGACUCCUACGGGAGGCAGCAGUGGGGAAUAUUGCACAAUGGGCGGAAGCCUGAUGCAGCAACGCCGCGUGCGGGAUGACGGCCUUCGGGUUGUAAACCGCUUUCGCCUGUGACGAAGCGUGAGUGACGGUAAUGGGUAAAGAAGCACCGGCUAACUACGUG